rnacentral:rRNA from 1 species
ACUACGGGGUGCAGCAGUGAGGAAUAUUGGUCAAUGGGCGGAAGCCUGAACCAGCCAAGUAGCGUGCAGGAUGACGGCCCUACGGGUUGUAAACUGCUUUUAUACGGGAAUAACGCGCCUUACGUGUAGGGCUUUGCAUGUACCGUAUGAAUAAGGACCGGCUAAUUCCGUGCCAGCAGCCGCGGUAAUACGGAAGGUCCGGGCGUUAUCCGGAUUUAUUGGGUUUAAAGGGAGCGUAGGCCGCAUGUCAAGCGUGCUGUGAAAUGUCCGGGCUCAACCCGGGCCUUGCAGCGCGCACUGGCGUGCUUGAGUCCGCGGAAAGCAGGCGUAAUUCGUCGUGUAGCGGUGAAAUGCUUAGAUAUGACGAAGAACCCCGAUUGCGAAGGCAGCUUGCUGCAGCGGAACUGACGCUGAUACUCGAAAGCGCGGGUAUCGAACAGGAUUAGAUACCCUUGUAGUC